UUCAACAGAGUAAUGGAGAUGCUGGCAUAUAACACCACGUUACAUAGUAUCACAUAGAUUUUUCCUCCUAAUUCAAAUAGUAUACCAUUAAAGCUCUCCAUGUCAUGUACGACAGGUACAAAGGGCCAACACUGUCAGGAAAUCCUUCCAGAACCAUAUAAGAUCGUGUAAAAGACAUCAAUUCCUGCAAUGCACAUCUAAGUUAUCCACAAAAAUAUCUAUAUUGUCCAGUAUAAGGCACUAACAUUCUCACAUGUAUAGACACAUUUUCAGAUUUUUUUAGUUAUCAAUAUUUGUCACUGUGCUUCCCUUUUGUAACCAAAAGGACGGAAAACAACAAAACAGAUCAAUCACAUUACUCGGCUGCGAAACCCUAUUGAUCUUUGGCAAUCUCGCAUUGUCAAUAUUUGAACGUUUUUUGACCCACUCUUCCCCACUUUAUCUUAAACCAAUCAAACAAACCCCAAUUAGAUCAAUAACAUUACCACAAAACGAUUAGUUCAUCAGCAAGCAAGCAACCACAAAACGAUUAGCUCCCUGGAAACUCGUAAGUAAAUAAGAGAAUACAACGACUUGAACAAUAAUAUAAGUAAAAAAUUAAUAGAAUACAACCACUCUAAUCUUACUCUAUUUUUUUUUAACUUGACAAAUCAUAAACAACAAAAGAUGGUUGCACUUCCCAUCCCAGGCUCAGAGUUCUAAAGCCAAAUAGAAGUCCAUGGCUGCAAGUAAAAACAUACCAUCCAUCAUCCUGGUCACGCCAAGGCUACAUGCUCAUCAAUUUUUAGUCAAAUCCUUGAAGCCAAGACAAAAAACCUAACCAAUGAAGGCAUAGGAACCAACAGCAGACAAAAGACGAUGCCAAAGCAAAACCCUAAGAAACCAAUCGUCGUCUCAGUGGCAUCGUUUCCAAUGACCAAAGCAGGAAGACACAGGGGAGAUGACUGCCUAAAUAAGUCAAUCGGAACAAACCACGAAGAUAAACGCUGUUCAUUUCCCGACAGUCGAGAGAGCCCAGGUUCGUAUGGAGGUCACCCCCCACAAAACAGAGACACCAGAUGGUAACCGUGGUGGUGGUGUAACAGUGGUGACCCUCCACCCUCCAUCUUCUCCUUCCCUCUUUCCUUU